UUUUUUUUUGGUCAGCUUAAAGAAACAUGGUGCACUCCUCACCAUUGUCUUCUUCUGUGCCACCUCUCUUCGACCGAAUAGGACAAUAUGGAAAACGCAUACAGAAAUAAUUCAAGCCAGCAAUUCAAACAGCUACAAACCAUCCCAUAGGGAUGCCAAACAAAGUGAUAUAUCAAAGAAGUAGUAUAUUUAAUCUCUCCACCCUAGUCUCUUUCUUCAUGAUUAUGAACUAUGAAGGCUGUGAAAAGUAUAUGUUGUAGAAUCAGUUAAUACAUUCUGUUAUUAUUUUUGCAUAGAUUACUAGUGUUUUCCGUUACAGCUUUGGAUAAUUUGAAUCAUUGAUGUGUUAUCCUUUACUCCUUUUUCUUCAGGAUGUGCACGGAAAGAAUUCCAAGGGCAAUAUAGACUUGCAUCACCAAAUUGAUACUGAACAUAAAGUUAAAGGUUAGUAGUGUCUGCAACACUGUUACAUAAAGUUUAAUUGAAUAUAUGAGAAUGCCAUAAUCAAUUAUGCACCAAAUUCCAUUCAUGUAAGUGAACUUUUAGAUAUACAUCAUUUCGAAAUGUUUCAGGAAAAAUAUUAUAAUGUUGUAGGAAACCAGUUACCUGGACACUGAAAAAUAGUUGGCCUUUUACUCAAUUUGCUUCAGCACCUCACCAUCUUCGCUGUUACUUGUUUCCAGUGCACGCCUUUUUGCCACUAUAUCUUAAAAUAAACUAUUAAUACAUAACUCUGAACAAAUGCUGGUGUGUUUAUCUAGGAUGUGAUGAUAAUUAACCAUACUUUUUCUUCUAAGAUCAAGCAAUGUAUGCGUUUGUAGUGUGUCUUCUCUACCCGAUUCUCUUCUCAUGAUGUACUCAUGUUUCAGUUGGUUACGCUGACCCACUAAUUGGCACUGUAUGCAGUUCUCCCCCCACCAAAAAUUGAACAAGUGAAGCCAGUACCAGUUCCAGUUCCACCCAGAAAAGUAUGAUGGCUCUUAUUUUGCUGUUUCUCUUUGUACAUAAGUCAUGCUUUACCUUCUGAAGCAUAACUUCAUUUUCCCAUUAAUAUAUACUUACUUUUUCUUACUUGAGCCCAAGCUGUAAUUUUGUUACUCUUUUAAGAGAAGUACUGAUGGUUUGGAGAAUAUAUUGAUGCCAGGAUUUCAGUGACAACAUGAGACGUCCCAGGGUCCCAAGUGCUGAUGAAUUGGAGAAGGCUAAGGCUUGUCAACUUGAAUUCGGGAGUUACUGUCUCUGGUCCAUUGAACACAAAGAAGUUAUGAAAGAUGCCAUUGUAAAAAAACUAAAAGAUCAGCUAUUUGUGGCUCGAUCUUACUACCCGAGCAUUGCCAAACUUAAAGGAAAGGAGGCACUGACUCGUGAAUUGAAGCAGAAUAUCCAAGAACAUGAAAGGGUUCUAAGUGAAUCCAUUGUUGAUGCUGAUCUACCAUCCUUGUGAGUAUUUAUUCGGCAUGCUUGUUAUUCUUCUUGACCCGUUUAGCAUUUCAUGGUUCCAUCUUGUAUGUUGAAAUUAUGACAACAGAUCAUUUAUGCAUUGCAUGGGGUUGAAAUGCUUUGUUACAUCUUACAUGUAUAUUUUUUCUUAGUGUUCAUAUUGAAUUUGUAUCCGGUAUGGUUGACUGGGAAAGUACUAUCAGUCAUGACUGCAUUUAAUUGUUUGUUACUGAAUGACACUUGACCUGCGCUUUCAGCAUAAAAAAGAAGAUAGAGAGGAUGGACCGUGCAAUAGCAAGAGCCAAAUCAUGCACUGUGGAUUGUAACAAUGUUGACAAAAAGCUUCGCCAGAUACUUCAUAUGACGGACGAUGAAGCUCAUUUUCAUAUGAAGCAGAGUGCCUACUUAUACAACCUUGGUGUUCACACGAUGCCCAAAAGUCAUCACUGUCUUAAUAUGAGGUUGACAGUAGAAUAUUUUAAAUCAACUACAUUGGAUUCAGAUGACUCUCCUGUCCAUAAGUUUAAUGUUCCAGAUCAUAGGCACUACGUUAUAUUAUCUAAAAAUGUGCUUGCCGCUUCCGUUGUCAUCAACUCAUCUGUUAGUAGUUCUGAGGUAUGCAGGCAACUUAUACUCUUUUGCUGAUUGAACAUCUUCUGGGUUUGGCAUUGCUGAUGUUCCUUUUGGUGUUUUGCAGGAGACCAGGAAUGUAGUCUUUCAUGUACUAACCGAUGCUCAAAAUUUCUAUGCAAUGAAGCAUUGGUUUUCAAGAAAUGCCUACAGAGAAUCAGCUGUCAAUGUCAUUAACUACGAGCAUAUUAUUUUGGAGAGUUUGCCAGAUUUCAGCAUGCAGCAGUUGUAUAUGCCUGAGGAAUUCCGUGUUUUCAUCAGUAGCUUUGAGCGACCUACCGAGAAAUCUAGAAUGGAGUAUUUAUCAGUGUUUAGUCACUCACAUUUCUUUAUUCCGGAAAUAUUUAAAGAUUUAAAGAAGGUGAUUGUGUUGGAUGAUGAUGUCAUUGUUCAACGUGAUCUCUCUUUCUUGUGGAAUCUUGAUAUGGGAGAUAAGGUAAAUGCCGCAGUCAAGUUUUGUGGCCUGAGACUGGGCCAACUAAGAAACCUUCUCGGCGAGGCAAUGUACGAUCCCCAGUCAUGUGCAUGGAUGUCUGGGUUGAAUGUCAUUAAUUUGGAAAAAUGGAGAGAGUAUAAUGUUACAGAGAAUUACCUGCAACUCCUGGAAAAGGUUGGUCUGUUGUCAGCCUGCUUUUAUUUCAAGUUCUAAAGCAUGCAUUGUAUUUUGUUUUGUUCCAAUAUUUCCAGCUAUCAUCAUCCGUACUUGAUAUAGUGAGCAAUUGUGAUGCUAUCUUAAACUCUUUACUUUCAGUCUAUUUGAAAAAUGCAUGAUUUGGGCCCAUCUUGCAUGAAGUGAUUAGCUUAUUUAGCACUUCUACUCUUAUUCUAUUACAGUUCCGGAACAAUGACGAUGAGGCCUCACUACGAGCUGCAGCUUUACCUAUAAGCUUGCUUUCCUUCCAGAAUCUUGUAUAUCCUCUUGAUGAGAGGUUGACUUUAUCUGGGCUUGGCUAUCAGUACGGAAUUGAAGAAAAAGUGAUCCGAACUUCUGCAUCGUUGCAUUACAAUGGUAAUAUGAAACCUUGGCUUGAAUUGGGUAUACCAAAUUACAGGAAGUACUGGAAGAGGUUUCUGGCACGAGAUGAGCGAUUCAUGGACGAGUGCAAUGUAAGUCCAUAGCAUACUUUGAACCUGGAAACCAGAAGAUUUGACUGACGGUAGAUUGUUUUCGUCUACUGCUGUACUAUAUACCAAGAGGACAAGCACUUGGGAGUGAAAAAGACCAGGAAAGCAGUCAUUAGCCAUCAAUUUUGACAGGGUAGAUCCAACACCAUCUGUUCAUUGAAUUAGUGAGCUUGAUGGGUAGUUUUUCUGCAGUUAGAGAAAUUAGUCUUAAGUCGAAGGAUAAUGCGGUAGGCAAUGGUGAUGUGUAGUGGUGAGGCUUCAGGUAAAAGGGAGUGUCACUCUCGUCAUCUAGAUUACGGGACAGGAUUGUUUGUUGGUGAUGCGUUGUGGCACCUUUAAUUGAAAAUUGGUGCCUUACACGUCAUUGAUGCAGGCUGAUUCUUUUCUUCGUUAAAUUUUUGACCCAAAUUCUUUGUUCUUAGUUACUGCACAUUGAUUGUUUAUCAAAGUUAUGUGGAUGGGAAGUAUAUUUGGUUUGUCAGAAACUUGUCGGUCCCAACUAACAAGGUUGACAGCUCGGUGGAUAUUUUCUUGCGUCACGGAAAUGUGAAAUGGGUGUGUUCUCAACUGGUAACUCUCGUUCAAGAAGAGUACGAUGGGCCUCUCAGUUUGUUCAUUCAUGUCCUUUCUUCCAUGUAGUCGAGACCCUGAACUUGCAGGUUUGGACGUUGGUACACGAUGUGCUAAUGUUGCUGAGAUCCCGAGACUUGCUGCCGAAAUAUUUACAUGUACGCAAUACGGUAUUUGAAAAUAAAGUAGUCGGUGAUCUGGCGGACAUGUUACGCACUGACACCCAAAGGCCCGGCAGGGCAUCCUCAAGGCGGAUCCCGUAAAUUAGAGACAAGUAUAAGGAGCUUUACCGUAAUCCGGACAAUAGACACGCAGAUCUCGUAAACUAGAGACAAAUAUAGGGAGACAAAUAUAGGUAGCUUUACGGGAAUUCGGACAAUAGGCACGCAGGACUCCGAUACCCUGGUUCACCCAAAAAAAAUUCCAGACCCCGCGCCAUCAUCCUCCCCAUUUUGCCUUCGCCGCCGGUCCAUCACCCCGGCUGUCACGCUAUACCCCUGCCAAAACAAUACAUCUCGGUCACCUCCAGCAUUUCAACUGGGCUUCACCCCGCUUCUCCUCUAUCGCCGUUCAACCACUGUCUUCCGACCGCCCCAUCAGGUACCAUCCGUUACUGCUACACUAACCAUGAUCGGCAAUUUUUCAAUGAGUUGUUGGAGCUAAAAAAGUCUCCCCUUCUUUCUAGCAAUGAAUUCCGCGCACUAUGUUAAGUCGUCCGACGAGGACUACUCGGAUGAGAGGACGAUAAUGCAGGCGGUCCUUGAAGACAUAGAGCGUGUGGUGGAGCAUGUUCUCCAUUCUCAAGGGCUUGAUCAAGGGUCACCGAGUGCUCAACUGCAACAGGGCGCGCGGCCAUCUGACGCUGAUGGCCGACUACUUUGCCCCGAAUGCACUCCUCGCUGACAAUUUUGUCGGUGUUUUCGAAUGCGCAAGACUGUUUUCGAUCAUUUGUACUAUGGCGUACGGUCCUACUUCAUCUUGAAGAAGGACGUUGUGGGAAUGAUUGACUUCUCUGGUUACCAGAAGUGUACGGCCGCACUACAGAUGCUUGCAUAUGGCACGACCGCUAAUUCGUGUGACGAGUAUCUACGGAUUUUCAAGAGCACAUGCGGAAAUGCCAUGGUUAGGUUUGCAACUGCCAUGAUCGAGGUGUUCGGACCUCAGUACCUAAGAGAACCAAUUAUGGCAAACACUGAGACGCUCUUGGCAAUCUCAGAAGCAAGGGGUUGGCCAGGUUUGCUUGGAUCUCUUGAUUGCAUGCAUUAAAAAUGGAAGAACUGCCUGUAGGCUUUACAAGGACAAUAUCAGGGUCAUGCUAAGAAGCCCACCAUCAUUCUUGAACCAGUUGCAUCACAUGAUUUUUGCACUUGGCGCGCUUUCUUUGGCAUGCCUGGGUCUCACAAUGACAUCAAUGUGCUGCAGCGAUCACCGUUUGAGAGGCUGGCUGAAGGAAAAGCUCCUACUUGCCUCUAUAUUGUCAAUGGACACGAGGACAACAUGGGCUACUAUCUGGUUGACGGUAUCUAUCCUCCGUGGGCCACCUUUGUCAGCACCAUCUCUAACCCAGUUGGCUAGAAAAAGUCUCACCUUGCCCAAAGACAAGAAGCGGCUUGAAAGGAUGUCGAGAGGGCAUUUGGAGUUCUGCAGGCCCGUUUGCAAUUGUUCGUGGACCUGCUAAACAAUGGGAUCCAGAUACCUUGUGGGAGGUAAUGUCAUGUUGUGUAAUCAUGCACAACAUGAGGGUGAGGAUGCUACCGCGGCUCUAUAAUUUGAGAACAUACGAUCUUAUCGAACUUCCAAACCAGAAUCUGGCCACAUUUGAAGAGUUUAUUCAAAUGCAUCAACAAAUUCGGCAUCAAUCAACUCACGAGUAGUUGAAGGAAGAUCUGUUUGGGCAUCAAUGGGCUAUUUAAGGGGACAACAAUGUUGGAAUGUAAAAUUUGCAUAUUUUAAAAUUUGAACUAGUGUUGCAUGCGGCUAUUUGAACAUUUGUACUCUAUGUACGCGACUAUUUGAACGCCUGAACUCUGCGUACGCAGCUAUUUGAAUAUGCGGACCAUAAAAAAAAAGAGGCCGGAUGUAUGCGGGCAGCGGAUGACAGCCUUCGGCAUCCGUGUCCGUGGAAUGGUCAAGCUGUCCUCGAACGGACGCGGAAGGCACCGUUGGAGAUGCCCUAAGCUGAUAGUACAAUUAGGUACAUGUGUAUUUUACGAUCCCAUGAAAGCAACAAGUACUUCUUUUGUUUCAUAACAUAUGACGUUUUUCGACACUACAUUAAUGUCAAAAAACAUUUUAUAUUAUGAGACGCGGGAAGUAUUUUAUAGGUGUUUACUUUACAGGUCGUUUGGAUACAGGUUGCUGAUAGCCCUCGCUCGUCGCAGAGAGAGAGGCAUCUGCCUCACGCUCGUUCUUGCUGCCGCGCCCAGCGGGGCCUCAAGAACCGGCGGACGGCCAGCCCCGCGUCUCCUGCUACGCGGUCAGGCGCAAGGACCCUGUCAGGAGUUGGGGUCCGAGAUCCACCAGGUUGCUGCCUUGGUCGAGCCAGGUUGGGAGCAGUGUCGUGGAACUCGUCGGGUCGGGCUGGUCGCCCAGCCACCGCCGUCGAGCGCCACCUAGUCCUUGCGCCUUCAAUGGCCGCCUCGUCUGACUUUGAUCACAACUAGUCGCCGACUCAACCAGCUGGACGUGGAGAGCUCCAGCGGCGCAGGGCGCACGCGCCGGAGAUCGCUGUUGCAUCUUCCUGUGUGCCUCCAGCCGUCCUGGCUGAGUGUGCGCUCGUACUCAUUUGGUGGAUCGGAAGAGAGGAAGGAAUACGUGGGAGAAAAACUAUGGGAGGAGGUGUGUAUCGAAAACCGGCCAAAUACUCGUGUAAUCUGAGAAACAAGCCUAAGUUUUACGGACGAUCCAAGUAGGUACACGAAUAUCAGCCGUUUUCUUUUACAGGGGUUUUCUGCUACAACAUGGCAGAACAAAUAAAGAUGAAGGAUCUUCAAGCAGUACAUAUCUCAGAGAAGUGGACCCAAGUUACCAUCUUAUAACACAAAACUUUGUAAUCAUCAUGAGUUCAGCCAAUACGUAGCUAACUCUAAAAAUUGCAACACCCAAACCAAAACGGGGUCAGGUAUCUCAAUAUCUUGAGCAUCAAGACAAAGACUAGCUUUCUAGCAGUUCAGUCUUCUGCCGCUUGAAACCUCAAAUAACAACAACUAUAUAUCUAGAAGGAUAGCUAGACCACAAGGCAUACUUAUUUACCAAUUACCAUGCGUCAGGAGAUAAUUUGAUUUAUUGCUAGCAGUUUAUACAAGCGGCCACCAAAAGAUUCCAUUUAGAUAAUUAAGGUGGCUAGGCUCAAUAGACUUGCAGAUCAGCAUCGACGCAGGGAUGGAACCAUUUUUUACCUAUUAUAUGUUGACUGAACUGCUAUCAUCUGAAUUACCAAACUGAUGGUUAACUAUCAUGCACCCUUCGGCGCUUCUCUUGCGGGGCCUUGGAACCAUCAUUAGUAUUUGCAAGGGGCUCAGAAGACUCGCUUUCUGCCAUCUCCUGGUUGCCACCUGCAUGCAUCAAAGUUUCUCCUAUUUCGGCACUCACGGGGUUCUCUCCUGUUCUAUUUAGGUCAUCAGCUGCAUCAUCACCCCUAUUUCUGGUUGCAGGAUGGCUUGGUUCAGAUGAUAGGGUUGUUGUAGCUCCCGAGGAUAGAUCCUGCACCUUCUCCGUAUUGGAUUUAGACUGCUUUUCAAACAUCAUCUGAAGAUACUUCCCUUGUUCUUCAAUUCGCAAUUGCAACUUUCUCUGGG
rnacentral:lncRNA from 1 species